AUUGAACGCUGGCGGCAGGCUUAACACAUGCAAGUCGAACGAGCGGAGGACGGGUGAGUAAUGCUUGGGAAUCUAGCUUAUGGAGGGGGAUAACUACGGGAAACUGUAGCUAAUACAGCGUACCAUAGGAUGAGCCCAAGGGGGAUUAGGUAGUUGGUGCGGUAAAGGCUCACCAAGCCGACGAUCUCUAGCUGGUCUGAGAGGAUGAACGUCGACAGUGGCAGUGAGACACGGCCCAUAUGCCUUCGGAGGGCAGCAGUGCGGAAUAUUUCGCAAGGGUGGCAACCUGAAGCAGCAAUGCCGCUUGAAUGAAGAAGGCUUUCGGUUGGUAAAGUUCUUUCGGUAGCGACGCGUUAUCUCCUCCAGAAGCACCGGCUAACUCCGUGCCAGCAGCCGCGGUAAUUC
rnacentral:rRNA from 1 species